rnacentral:lncRNA from 1 species
GAAAGGAUUCCUUAUCAGCAGACAGUUACAGCUCCCACUAGGACACUGCCUUCUCAGCGGCUUCAGUUAUCAGAUAUUCCUGGACAUACUUUCCAAGCCAUGAAAAAUAACGAGAGCCACAGCUUUCCCAGCACUCUGACAAACAUCCAUGAGCCCCCAAAGACCGGGAAGUAAUGAUGAUGCAGCUGCGGCACCAUAGAAGAAACAAGUGAUUUCAGUCAAAGGGCCUGGACUCACGAGCUAGCAACUUUGGACAGAUUCUUGAACUCUCAGCCUCAGUUUCUGCUUCUGUAAAGGGAGAUAACUACAGUGACCUUCAGGUUAUCUUGAAGAUGCCAAUGAGCUAGUGAAAAUGCAAUUUAAUCUGUACAGAACUAAACAAAUGUAAGUCAGUGCUAAUAUUCUGUUCCUAGUGGGGACAUGCCAAGUCUCUUUACUGCAACCAGUGGUUCACAUAUGGAAAUAUUGUGCUAAUUUCCAACUCCUACUUAUAUAUAUGAUUUGUUAACUCUGGAGGAUGCAGCCAUCAGCAUAAGCAACCAACAGAAGAACACGCUGGAUCCUCUCCUUUUCCUGACAGUGUGUCUCUUUUAAUACAAAUUAAUUAAAAGCAGGCAUCUUAAGAGGUGGCUUAAGAAGACUCCUGCAUCAUCAUAGGGAGUUAAAAUUCUGAGCAAAAAGCCUUCUGGAGGAGAAGCAUAGGACAGGCAGCCCCAAGACUGGACUGGAUAGAUGUUGCUGAGCCACCAACUCUCUGAGGGACCUGAGACAAAGCCAGGUGACCUCACCAGUGCUCCAUGUUCUCACCAUAAGUUCUAUAGGACACUCAAAUAUUCUCAGGACAUCAGUUUACUAUACACAUGCACACACACAUAUUUUACAUUUCAUUCAAAGGGUAAAACAUAGACUCCCUUUGUUCUAUAAACCUACAAACAUGUCUGAGCAUUUUUUACAUAAAUAUUUCACAAAUAUUUUACAUGAAUACUUCGACUUAUAAGUCCAUAUUUUAACAAUGGCAUCUUUUCCAAUGUGUACAUUAUGGAAGUGUGGUUGGGGUGUACAGCCUAGGAGCUCAGGGACUGCACAGGCCUGUUCUUUAUGGAUGCAUUGCAUUCAUCUCCCACAGCCAUUUGUAGCUUCAGCUGUUUCUGAAAGCAGCCACUUUCCCUUUUGAUGUCUGAGGUCCAUUAUUUUCAUUUUUGACUUAACCAACAGGUGUUCUCUCUUGAACUCUUUCCUACAUGAGCUGUCUUGCCUCAGGGUUCCCACGGACAGGAGAGUUUUUCCUACAGUGUUACUGAGAGGCACAGAGAAAUCAGUUCCUCCUGGUCCACUGGCUCCGCUCUCAGCACUGCAGUCUCUUGUGACCACGCUGAAGUCUCAACGUUUCCCCCUUCUGAGGACAUGCAGGGACAGAAGGGUGAACCACAAGGGCCAGACCUAAUGCUCCAGGAAAACAAUGAAAGAACAAUUUUCCAUCCUUUUAUUUAGGGCUUAAGUAAGCCAGGCCUGUAACACCAAAUUGUGAGAGUGCACAAGAUGUUUUUGAACCUUGGUGCAGAAUCCAGAAAGAAGUGCAGCCUCUGGUGACAGGGUCUUGGGCUAGCCAUGUGAAGCCUGGCUUUAUGUCAGGCCUCUCAAAUGUGCUGUACAAACCUACCUGCAGGUCUACUCUAGGCAGAAGGGGUGGACCGAUGGCACCAACAAACACAUCUGUACACACAACAGUGCAGCAGACACUUGUGGAUGGGGUAUGAGACAAGCUGUAGAUGCCCUCAAUUAAAUCUGAGGACAAAAGAAGACUGCCCAGAGAGUGGCACUAGCAUGGCAACAAAAUAUUUCAAAAUAUUAAUGGGUUUUACAUACACGCAUAAAAUCACAUUUUUCUGACCUUAUAACACAUUUCAGUCAUUUAGGUAUUGAGUUUGUAAUGCUUGUGGAUACUCGAAAAAUUGAAAGAGGCAAAGUUAGACUUCUUGUCCCCAAGACUGGAAAUAUGUCCCUUCGUUGGGAGUUGGGUGGUGUUGAAUGCAGUUGGGGUGGAAGGAGAGGAGAGCUAAUGGGAAAACAAAGAAUAAGUAAAUGUUCUACAUUCCUGAGAAAAGGGGCCCUGCCCCCUAGCCAUCUCUGCAGCAAAGCCCUGGGGGAGAGAGAGAGAAUGCUCAGACAUGUUUGUAGGUUUACAGAACAAAGGGAAUCUAUGUUUUACCCUUUGAAUGAAAUACAGGAAAGCAAAAUACCUAGAGCAGAAAUGGCUGUGUGACAUGUCAGACAAGGUCAUAGAGUUUUCCAUGGCCCUGCACUGCCCGUGGCUCAUGUGGCAUGACUGUAGGUGAAACCCAGAAUGGACUCUCAAGGUGCCCUGGGCUCCCUUCCUCAAUGGCUGAAGAAGGCUUCUCUUGACCUAAUGGAGUUUAAAGAGACUUGGGGAUAUAGUGAACUAGACCCCAGAAGCCUUUCAAACAGGAACUAGGGGGCGCCCACCAGGACCUUGUGGACUGACAGUGGAGGCUCAAUGAGACAAAAUGUGUCAUGGAGAUGCCUUCAGGACAGACAGCAUUCGGGAACAGAUACCAGCUCCUUACAGUCUUGGCCUCCAGAUUAGACAUGGCCCUGGAAAAAGGUGAUGGGGGACCUGGAAUUACCAGACAGCAAUUCCGUUCCCCCACUUAGUGGAAUGGGAGCACAACAUGUAAAUUAAAGGAAUUAGAGAAAAACAUAGGCUGAGAUACCUAUUGCUGUGGUCAGCAACACCAUGGAGGCUUCACUGUGGGACUUCAGAUUUGUUGGUGAAGAGAAAGCUAUGGGGGUCCCACUCUCCCUCCCAGCUUGAGGUCUCUGAGAUGCAACACAAGGAGCCUUGGAAUGAAUUUCUCCACAGCCAGAGCUCUAAAUCUGGAAGAAGCCCAAGACUACUGCUGGAGCUCACAGAAUGGUCAUCCCUGGAGCAGCAGCCAUCUCCCCUACAUCCUACCUGCCUCCCCAUCAUACUUAGAAGGCAAACCUCCUUCCCCUUGGAGCCUGGAAGGGGAGCGGUGGCUGAGGAACCAGAGGAAAGCAAGGUGGCUUCAUGACAGAGGUCAAGGGGACUAUGUUAGAUAGGGCUUUUUAUGGCAAGUGACAGAAAUCCAGCUUAAAUUAUCUUAAGGAAAAGAGGAAAAUGUACUGGCUCAAGUAACCAGGCUGAGGGAAGGGCAGGUGGCCACCAGGGUCCUGGGACAGUGCAACGAGGACUUGGAACCCACCAGGCCCUUUCUGUCUCUUGUCUCUUCUCUCUAAGGCUCAGUUUAAUUCUCCUGCAGAUUGGUGCCUUCCUUGCAGUAUAAAAACAUGGCUGCCAGCUGCUCUCAUGAGCACCUCUUCCCAGCUUCAUGAUUAAGAAGGAAUGCUCUUCCUUCCAUUCCAGUUAGUAAAGUCCUAGACAAGAAAGCCAAAUGGCCCAGUCCUGUGGGCAAAAAGGUGAAGCACUAUAAAAGACAGUUCCCAUUAACAUCAAGUGGAGGAAGAGGAAGAGUAGCUGCCCAUGAAGGAUUCUCAGAAGGAGGGCUGGGUGCCCAGCAGGCAACAGCACAGAUGUCCACCAGAUAAGGAUCUUCCAGUCCUGGGCCCCCAAGCCUCUGCAGUAUGGUGGGAGCUGCCCCGGGUGAGCAGCAGGGGAAAAGAAACAGGGAUGAGACAGCAGGGCUGGAGUUGCUGAAAUCCUGGCAAAAUUCGAUUUGUGGUCAGAAUGAAACAUGCCUUCAUAACUCAGGUCUUCAAUGCUUUGGGGAACUCAUGUGGCUUGGGAGGCUGAAGGCACACAAGAGAGGAGGGCAAGGGGAUCAGAGACACCCCACAAUUCCAGAAACCACCCUGGGCUUCAAAUGCAAAUGUUGCUGACAUGCAGAAGGAGUGGGGUUGUAAACAUAAGGGUUGGAAAAAAAAAAGAACGCAGUCUGGUUGCAGUAUUUCCACCUGAGCCCUGCAGAGCUGUUCUGCCAGACAGUCUACAAAGCAUGCACCUGGGUCUGCAAGUGCUGGGUGUGUGCUUCUAUUUAAUAAAUAACCCUGGCACACUGUAUAAACAUCAGAUGAACAUGAAAGCUGCAACAUCUGGAGAACUGUCACCAUCUGCCACUCUGAGGGGAGCAUUUAAAGAAUCAGCGGGAUAGGAGCGGUAUGUGGCCUGAGUUAAAAAAAAAUGUUGGCAGCUGCUGCCAGCUAUCAGUUGCUGCGAAUAGCAGUGGUUCUUCCUGACGUGGCAGUUUAUGGACUUUCACAAAUCCCGGGUGACCCCUCACAAAGGCGGAGGCCAACAUACUAACCGGCUCCAAUAGCCAUCACUCACCAAGUGCGUUUACAAGGCUUUGUUCCUGUCUCUUUUGUGGCCUCACAAUGGCAGAUGCACACCAGGUCCCACAACCAGAGAAAAAGAGAGGGAGGUUACUCGUGGAGAUGUCAGAAAAAGUACUCCCCUUGUGCCUGACUUCUUUGAUUAAACCCUUGUUUGAUUUUGUCCAGAGAGGCAAGACUUCAACAUGUAGCUCUAAGUGCUGGGCCAGGCACCCCAGGUUUAGAUGAAAAACUAACGCUGAUAGAGGUAUGUGUUUACAUCAGACCGAGGUUAUACUUACAUUUUUCAUUUGUUAAUAUAAAUCUAAGUUAACCACCUCAAGCGGGACUCAGCAAGGGCUGCUCUUUAUUAAUGGGCUGGUCGUUGCUGUUUUUAAGAGAGUGUCAUUAACCCUAACAUACGGGCUCCUUGUGUAAUUGAACAGUAAAUGUGAUUAUGAUCCCAACUGCCAUCUCCAGGCACUUCUUGGAACACAAGUUCUUUGUACAGGAGAAAUAGUCAGACACA